rnacentral:rRNA from 1 species
UGGGGAAUAUUGCACAAUGGGCGCAAGCCUGAUGCAGCCAUGCCGCGUGUAUGAAGAAGGCCUUCGGGUUGUAAAGUACUUUCAGUCGGGAAGAAGGUGUCAAGGUUAAUAACCUUGGCAAUUGACGUUACCGACAGAAGAAGCACCGGCUAACUCCGUGCCAGCAGCCGCGGUAAUACGGAGGGUGCAAGCGUUAAUCGGAAUUACUGGGCGUAAAGCGCACGCAGGCGGUUGAUUGAGUCAGAUGUGAAAUCCCCGGGCUUAACCCGGGAAUUGCAUCUGAUACUGGUCAGCUAGAGUCUUGUAGAGGGGGGUAGAAUUCCAUGUGUAGCGGUGAAAUGCGUAGAGAUGUGGAGGAAUACCGGUGGCGAAGGCGGCCCCCUGGACAAAGACUGACGCUCAGGUGCGAAAGCGUGGGGAGCAAACAGG